GAUGAACGCUGGCGGCGUGCCUAAUACAUGCAAGUCGAGCGAACAGACGAGGAGCUUGCUCCUUCGACGUUAGCGGCGGACGGGUGAGUAACACGUAGGUAACCUACCUAUAAGACUGGGAUAACUUCGGGAAACCGGAUCUAAUACCGGAUAAUAUUUCGAACCGCAUGGUUCGAUAGUGAAAGAUGGCUUUGCUAUCACUUAUAGAUGGACCGGCGCCGUAUUAGCUAGUUGGUAAGGUAACGGCUUACCAAGGCAACGAUACGUAGCCGACCUGAGAGGGUGAUCGGCCACACUGGAACUGAGACACGGUCCAGACUCCUACGGGAGGCAGCAGUAGGGAAUCUUCCGCAAUGGGCGAAAGCCUGACGGAGCAACGCCGCGUGAGUGAUGAAGGUCUUCGGAUCGUAAAACUCUGUUAUUAGGGACGAACAAACGUGUAAGUAACUGUGCACGUCUUGACGGUACCUAAUCAGAAAGCAACGGCUAACUACGUG
rnacentral:rRNA from 1 species